CUUGGAUUUACAAACGACUCUCGGCAACGGAUAUCUCGGCUCACGCAUCGAUGAAGAACGUAGCAAAAUGCGAUACUUGGUGUGAAUUGCAGAAUCCCGUGAACCAUCGAGUUUUUGAACGCAAGUUGCGCCCAAAGCCAUCCGGCUGAGGGCACGCCUGCCU
rnacentral:rRNA from 1 species